GCCUGAGUGGCUCAGUCUGUUAAGCAUCUGACUUCAGCUCAGGUCAUGAUCUCACGGUUCGUGAGUUCGAGCCCCGCUUCCGGCU
rnacentral:tRNA from 1 species